ACUAGCAUAUUUACAAACACUAGAACUAUGUUAUAUUUAGUAAAACUUUAAUGAUGACAAAAACACAGACCUGUUCCGAGGUAAUGAGGAAAACAUACAAUAACAUCCUGAAAUAAUUCUACUAGAUAAAGAAUGACUUAUAGAACUUUAGAAUUUUAAAGGAAACCGUUUAAUAAUAAUAUUUUUCUCUUUUUAUAGGUUUACAUAGUGUCGACCGGAUUUGGUGAAAGUACAGAUGUACCAUCAUCCAUUGUAGACGGCGAUAAGGCUCACCACCUAUCACGUUGCUCUAACAGAAAGCUCUGUGAGGUGUGGGUACUUAGUUCAUCUUGCGAUGCACCUUUGACUACCCCAAUUGGUAUAUAGUCGUGAGAUUAUAUUAUGUAAUACUACUCAGGAAUACGGUUGAAAAAAUAUCAAUAUUGGACAAGAUGAAACUGUGUACUCAACAUGUAACCUACAAUAAAAUUAAGGUAAUGAGGAAAUGCAACCAUGGAUUAGCAAGCAA